AGUGAACGCUGGCGGUAGGCCUAACACAUGCAAGUCGAACGGCAGCACAGUAAGAGCUUGCUCUUACGGGUGGCGAGUGGCGGACGGGUGAGGAAUACAUCGGAAUCUACUUUUUCGUGGGGGAUAACGUAGGGAAACUUACGCUAAUACCGCAUACGACCUACGGGUGAAAGCAGGGGAUCUUCGGACCUUGCGCGAUUGAAUGAGCCGAUGUCGGAUUAGCUAGUUGGCGGGGUAAAGGCCCACCAAGGCGACGAUCCGUAGCUGGUCUGAGAGGGUGAUCAGCCACACUGGAACUGAGACACGGUCCAGACUCCUACGGGAGGCAGCAGUGGGGAAUAUUGGACAAUGGGCGCAAGCCUGAUCCAGCCAUACCGCGUGGGUGAAGAAGGCCUUCGGGUUGUAAAGCCCUUUUGUUGGGAAAGAAAAGCAGCAGGUUAAUACCCCGCUGUUCCGACGGUACCCAAAGAAUAAGCACCGGCUAACUUCGUG
rnacentral:rRNA from 1 species